UACGGGGGGGGCAAGCGUUGUUCGGAAUUACUGGGCGUAAAGGGCUCGUAGGUGGCCAACUAAGUCAGACGUGAAAUCCCCAGGCUCAACUUGGGAACUGCGUCUGAUACUGGAUGGCUUGAAUUCGGGAGAGGGAUGCAGAAUUCCAGGUGUAGCGGUGAAAUGCGUAGAUAUCUGGAGGAAUACCGGUGGCGAAGGCGGCAUCCUGGACCGAGAUUGACACUGAUGAGCGAAAGCUAGGGGAGCAAGCGGG
rnacentral:rRNA from 1 species